rnacentral:rRNA from 1 species
UACGUAGGGUGCGAGCGUUGUCCGGAAUUACUGGGCGUAAAGAGCUCGUAGGUGGUUUGUCGCGUUGUCCGUGAAACUCACAGCUUAACUGUGGGCGUGCGGGCGAUACGGGCAGACUGGAGUACUGCAGGGGAGACUGGAAGUUCCUGGUGGUAGCGGUGGAAUGCGCAGAUAUCAGGAGGAACACCGGCGGCGAAGGCGGCACUCUGGGCCGGUGACUGACGCUGAGGAGCGAAAGCGUGGGUAGCAAACAGG